GUGCUCACUUCAGCAGCUCAUAUACUAAAAUUGGAAUGAUACAGAGAAGAUUAGCAUGGUCCCUGAUCAAGGAUGACAUGGAAAUUCUUCAAACAUUCUGUAUUAAA
ensembl:snRNA U6 U6 spliceosomal RNA